GCUUAGCCAUAAACUAAAAUAAUUUAUCCAACAAAAUUAUUCGCCAGAGUACUACUAGCAACAGCUUAAAACUCAAAGGACUUGGCGGUGCUUUAUAUCCCUCUAGAGGAGCCUGUUCCAUAAUCGAUAAACCCCGAUAAACCUUACCAUCCCUUGCCAACACAGCCUAUAUACCGCCAUCUUCAGCAAACCCUAAAAAGGACUCAAAGUAAGCACAAAUAUAAGACAUAAAAAAGUUAGGUCAAGGUGUAGCCUAUGGGAUGGAGAGAAAUGGGCUACAUUUUCUACUCAAGAACAACACAACUCAUUACACGAAAGUUUUUAUGAAACUGAAAACUAAAGGAGGAUUUAGCAGUAAAUUAAGAAUAGAGAGCUUAAUUGAACUAGGCCAUGAAGCACGC
rnacentral:rRNA from 1 species